UACAGAGGUCUCAAGCGUUGUUCGGAAUCACUGGGCGUAAAGGGCGCGUAGGCGGCCAGCACAAGUCAGUUGUGAAAUCCCCGGGCUUAACUCGGAAAGGUCAACUGAUACUGUGCGACUAGAGUGCAGAAGGGGCAACUGGAAUUCUCGGUGUAGCGGUGAAAUGCGUGGAUAUCGAGAGGAACACCUGCGGCGAAGGCGGGUUGCUGGGCUGACACUGACGCUGAUGCGCGAAAGCCAGGGGAGCGAACGGG
rnacentral:rRNA from 1 species